rnacentral:rRNA from 1 species
CAGCACCUCAAGUGGUCAGGAUGAUUAUUGGGCCUAAAGCAUCCGUAGCCGGCGCUGUAAGUUUUCGGUUAAAUCUGUACGCUCAACGUACAGGCUGCCGGGAAUACUGCAGCGCUAGGGAGUGGGAGAGGUAGACGGUACUCGGUAGGAAGGGGUAAAAUCCUUUGAUCUAUUGAUGACCACCUGUGGCGAAGGCGGUCUACCAGAACACGUCCGACGGUGAGGGAUGAAAGCUGGGGGAGCAAACCGGAUUAGAUACCCGCGUAGUCCC